rnacentral:lncRNA from 1 species
AUGAGGAAUCCACAUAGCCUUCCUCUUGAAAUUCCCUCCCCUCGGUUUGAUGUAGAGCACGGCCAGAGACUGACUGGUUCUAGACCAUGCCCACAAUCUCCUUUGCUCCUGCACUUGAUGUAUGGCGUCCUUGGGCCAACGUUUUGGCUUGGGUUUCCAAGCUGCUCCAGGCCAGCCCUGGCUGGAGCGGCCCUGCGCUCGCAGCUUGGCACCGCUCCACUGGUCAGCCUCUCCAGACACGCGAGCCGCUGUCUGUGUCCUAAACCUGGCUCAAACCUGCUUUUUCUGACUGGAUCAUGUGGGAUGAGCAGUAUCCUGCUGGGACAGAGGACUGUUUUUGGCACUUUAGUCAGCUCCUGGAAAGCGCUCUUCACCUUCAGUGGUCAACACACCUGCGUGGCACCUCUAGCACUGCUGACUGCGUCCGAUCUCUUCCUGACCGUGUUUCCUGUGCACAGUUCACCUGGUGAACAGCCACUCGUCCUCACUCCCCAUCUGCAUCCAGGGCCAAGAGCCCAAGGGGGCUCCAGGCUGUGUCUGGGUGCCAUGACGUGACACCACUUUCCGCUGCUCCACGCUAGCCAGCUGGCCAUGUCUCCUGCCCUUCGAGAGCCACCACACGUCUGCGCAUGCACAGAGGGAAACAAAAGUCUUCACGGUGCCUCUUCAUGCCGUAAACACCAUGAAAUGAUUGGCCCAGCUACACAAGGGAGCUGCCUGCGUGUUUUGGCCUGCCCAGGUCGUCUUGAAAGGAAAUGCUUGUGCUUGAGUCAGGAUCUCAUUUGGGAAUCAAAUGAGCUCCAGAGCUCGGUUUCAGACUCCUCUUGCUCAGGAGUUGGCACGUCGGGCCUGUCCUUCCCCGGCAGGAAAGGGGAUGGGCAGCCCAAAGGCACAAAAAAUACCAUGGCUGUAACCACCCCCCUCCUCGAAGCUGAGUUUGGGCAUCUCCUGUUAGAUCACUUUAAAUCCAGCCCUGUUGGGCCUUUGUGUCCGAUUUAAACAGCAUGACCGAAUACUUGCCAACGGGGAAGCCUUGUUUGAUUGUGGAGGAUAUAAGAUGAUUCGAACACAAGAGCUGAUAGUUUCAAGUAACUGAAACUUAACCUCGCUGUAUAAAGCUUUAUUGUCUUGCCACAGAAAUCCUCUGUCCGGGAGAGCACAGCUGUGAGGAAAAUAAAUGCUGCACU